UUUCCCUACGGGAGGCAGCAGUGGGGAAUAUUGCACAAUGGGCGCAAGCCUGAUGCAGCGACGCCGCGUGCGGGAUGGAGGCCUUCGGGUUGUAAACCGCUUUUGUUCAAGGGCAAGGCAGGCUUUCGGGCCUGUUGAGUGGAUUGUUCGAAUAAGCACCGGCUAACUACGUGCCAGCAGCCGCGGUAAUACGUAGGGCGCAAGCGUUAUCCGGAUUUAUUGGGUGUAAAGGGCGUGCAGCCGGGAAGACAAGUCAGAUGUGAAAUCCCGCGGCUCAACCGCGGAACUGCAUUUGAAACUGUUUU
rnacentral:rRNA from 1 species